CAGGGCAGGCAGGCAGGGAGCCUGCCCUGUCCCCGGUGCACGCCAGGCCGGAGCCGCUCUAGGAACCAGCUCUAACAAAAAUUCGGUCUGAGCUCUGGGAAUCUAUCACAACUAGCUUGUACAUCCUCAAAUCUUAACAUAGCAAGAAAGGAGUCAUCUACCUCUCCCCUCCCUACAUCAAAUAAUCCUCAAGUGAAAGGGCAAGAUAGAAUAUUUGCAGAAUGAUAGAUGAUCUAAAGCUCCAAUCCUACGUUAACUUCAAUGGGAGCACUGGAUGUGCAAGAGAUGAAAAAUCACAUCUUGAGCUCUUCCCAUAUGUUUUGGGAAGGACAGUAUUCCUGGAGGCUGAGCAGUACUUUUUGAUAAUAUUAGAAUUUUCAUGUUUGGUUUUUGUGUUCCUAUGGAAACAUGAGACUUAUUUGGGGAUUUUUUUAUUUUAAGACUAAUAUCAAUUCCUGUAACUUUUUCAUUACCAACUGUUCUGUGUCUUGCAAAGUAUUUAAGAAAA